GACGAACGCUGGCGGCGUGCUUAACACAUGCAAGUCGAACGGAAAGGCCCUGCUUUUGUGGGGUGCUCGAGUGGCGAACGGGUGAGUAACACGUGAGUAACCUGCCCUUGACUUUGGGAUAACUUCAGGAAACUGGGGCUAAUACCGGAUAGGAGCUCCUGCUGCAUGGUGGGGGGUGGAAAGUUGCGGCGGUUGGGGAUGGACUCGCGGCUGAUCAGCUUGUUGGUGGGGUAGUGGCUUACCAAGGCUUUGACGGGUAGCCGGCCUGAGAGGGUGAACGGCCACAAUGCGACUACGAGACGGACCAGAGUGGUAUGGGAGGCAGCAGUGGCGAACCUUGCCCAAUGAGAGGACGUCUGAUGCAGCAACGCCGGGUGCGGGAUGACGGCUUUCGGGUUGUGAACCGCAUUAGCCUGUGACGAAGCGUGAGUGACGGUAAUGGGUAAAGAAGCACCGGCUAACUACGUG
rnacentral:rRNA from 1 species